ensembl:lncRNA
UGGUAGCUGAGGUCUGCGUGGAUGCUGCGUGGAUGAAGAUGAAACCAGCAGGGGGGAUCUGGAACAAGACAUCUUUCAGCCUCAGCUCACCCAACAGCACUGAAGACUGAAAUGAAGAAGUUGGUGGAUUCCAGAGUGAAGCAAGAAGAAGGCCGGGAUGCAACAUGAGCAGACGGUCCAACCCAGAAAAGUGCUAACUUUACAGAAUGGGGGACUCCGCGCAUCAGUGGCAGUCUGCGGGCAGUCAGCGUUGGACCCAAGGUUUCGUGUUUAUAGAACGAAGAAGGACAUCUUGUAAAGGCGCCUUUUCAUGUGCGGAGAGACCAUAAAAAUGUAGAUCAAGACCCCAGAAUGUUAAAGAGAAUCAGGAAUGCACAUGGAAAAUGCUACACUAAUCACUGAAUUUCUGCUCCCAAAGACCUCUGUUUACUGAGCUGCAGCCAGCCCUGAUGAGUUUGGAGUAUGCCAGCAAAAGUGUGCAGGUUCGUUUGCUCAGGUCACCUAUUGGUGCUUCAUGCAUAAUGCAUCCUUCCCUGCCUUUGUGUACGUGGCCACAAGGUGGUGUCAUCAAAGAUCAGAAAGCUGCUGUGGAGUACAUGUUGUGAAGUGUAUGGGAACUGUUGAAUCACGGCCUGAACCUCUGAUUGACCACCUGAGGACAAACCUAGAGGUUUCAUCCCAAAAGAACAAACUUCUAGCAAAAGGCAUGGAUUAAGGAAAAAAGCUCAGGUUGGCCAGAAAUGGUGGAAGAAAGUCAAGAACAUUAAGAUAAAACAUAAGGCAAAGAAGAGAGUGAAUCUGCCUUCUGUAGCCCUGUACUCCCACUCCAGUCAGUUUCUACAUCAACUGAUAGGUGGGGAAGAGGACAUAACAGAACGAAAGCCAAGAAGAAAAUUGCAGCAAAGGGAUGGAGGAGUGCUGCUUAACCGUCUGUCUCCUGAAGUCUUCAGAUGUUGGCUAAGAUUUCCUCUGCUGGAUAUGUAUGUCAGACUUCUACAAAAUCAACCCCCGCUCAACUACUCUGAGCUGAAAUUCAUCUUCUAUGAAAGCUGCAGGAAGUGCUGACUGUCUACUUCCAGUGUGCCUGCCCAAAGGGAGACCUCUCUGCUGGAUCCCAACAAGAGGAGAUGACAAACAAGACAAGCGCAUUUCGUAG